rnacentral:rRNA from 1 species
UACGGGGGGGGUAAGCGUUGUUCGGAAUUACUGGGCGUAAAGGGCUCGUAGGCGGCCAACUAAGUCAGACGUGAAAUCCCUCGGCUCAACCGGGGAACUGCGUCUGAUACUGGAUGGCUUGAAUCCGGGAGAGGGAUGUGGAAUUCCAGGUGUAGCGGUGAAAUGCGUAGAUAUCUGGAGGAACACCGGUGGCGAAGGCGGCAUCCUGGACCGGUAUUGACGCUGAGGAGCGAAAGCCAGGGGAGCAAACGGG